GAUGAACGCUGGCGGCGUGCCUAAUACAUGCAAGUCGAGCGAUCGGACGAGAAUCUUGCUUCUCUGAUGUUAGCGGCGGACGGGUGAGUAACACGUGGAUUACCUAUCUAUAUGACUUGGAUAACUUCGGGAAUCCGUAGCUAAUACCGGUUGAUAUUUUGAACAUCAUGGUUCAAAAGAGAAAGACGGUCUUGCUGUCACUUAUAGAUGGAUCCGCGCUGAAUUAGCUAGUUGGUAAGGUGACGGCUUACCAAGGCAACUAUGCAUAGCCGACCUGAAAGAGUGAUAGGCCACACUAGAAACGAAACAGGGACAAGACGACUAAGAGAGGCAGCAGAAGGGAAUGUUCCGCAGUAGGCGAAAGCCUGACAGAGCAAGGCAGCGUGAGAGAUGAAGAUCUUCGGAGCGUAAAAAACUGUUAUUAGUGAAAAACAGAUUUGAAAAGAAAUGAGCACAAAGUGACGGUACCUAAUCAAAAAGCCACGGCUAACUACGUG
rnacentral:rRNA from 1 species